rnacentral:rRNA from 1 species
UACGGAGGGGGCUAGCGUUGUUCGGAAUUACUGGGCGUAAAGCGCACGCAGGUGGCUGAGUCAGUCGAUUGUGAAAGCCCUGGGCUUAACCUGGGAAUUGCAGUCGAUACUACUCGGCUCGAGUAUGGGAGAGGGCAGUGGAAUUCCCGGUGUAGCGGUGAAAUGCGUAGAUAUCGGGAGGAACAUCAGUGGCGAAGGCGGCUGCCUGGCCCAAUACUGACACUCAGGUGCGACAGCGUGGGGAGCAAACAGG